rnacentral:lncRNA from 10 species
GUGGAACAAAGGAAAACAGGCAUAAAAGGAAUACAGACAUAUGAUUUCGUUCACAUAAAGUUCAAAAACAAUAAAACUGUUAUUUAUCCUUGAGAACUGUGUAGCAAUAAGAUGGGGGCAUGAAGUGGUUUCCAGAACACUGGUAAUAUAUAUUUUUCUUGAUCUAGGAGUUAGUUACAUGGCUUUUGGUGAAGCAGGAUAUUUCCCUGACCCCUUUGUGGGAUUCGUGACCAGAGUGUGUUUACUCAGCCCGUCACUCUCAACUCCUCACGGGAGGGAGUGCAUAAGCAAGUAAGAUGGGAACUGGAGUGCACGAGCAUUGGAACUGAACAGCUGCUUCAGCACUGGCAGGAGCAAACUUCCCGCAGCAGCAUCCAGGCUUCCUAUCACUUUGUUACAUGAAGAGGCAUCUUCAAAGAGCAAACUGAUACAACUUUAAAUUGAAAAGGAUAAAGUUUGAAAUGAAAUAUUUGUCCAAAGAUUUGUUGUGUUUUGCAAGAUUGGGUCUCCUUCUGUCACCCAGGCUGUAGUGCUGUGGUUCGAUCUUAGCUCACUGCAACCUCUGCCUCUCAGGCUGAAGCCAUCCUCCCACCUGGGCCUCCCCAAUAGCUGGGACUUACAGGUACAUGCCAGACACCAAGUUAAUUUUUUUUUUUUUGUAUUUUUUGUAGAGAUGAAGUUUUGCUAUGUUGCUCAGGCUGGUCUCCAACUUCUG